GCUUCCAGCUGAAAGCGCUCUGUGGUGGUGAUCUUUCUUGACAUCAAGUAGUUGUAAACUCAUCAAUCUUCUAUUUUGAAGCUCAAGUGCUUGUUGCAAAUCAGCUUGUUCCUCUAGUUUCCUCCUCCAAAACAUGUCUUCAGGAAUGCAAAACAUUUUUGCUCCAAGCUGGAGAUCAAAAGGUUCUCUUGAAUCAAGACAAGUAAGGGUAGCACAUGGUGAGAACUCUCCCCUCUCUGCUUGCAGCUGCUGUUGCUUC
rnacentral:misc_RNA from 1 species